rnacentral:ncRNA from 1 species
UCCCUGCUUUUCCUCCCUGAGCAGGAGCCUUACCGUGAUGACAGCGAUGAGGCUUUUCAACCCCGGCCUUGACGGUCGGGGUUUUCUUU